GAUGGUCAAAUGCAUUUAAUUGAUAAAACACCAAAAAAUAGCAGUGUAGAAAUGGGGAGAGACAGUCAUUCAGUUCUUCCUGCCCAAUCUAGUAGGAUCAGCAGGAGACAAAUGUACAGGAAAGUGGGGAAAUACCAAGCAAAACAACAGCAGAGGGUAAAAAAAAAACAUUGGAUGCCAUGGAAAAAAGAGAAUGGAGGAAAUAAGUGGUUUAGAUAAGUUAACUUUGAGCAAAAUUCUUCUUUGGUUCACAUUUGUCAGUGUCUAGGAAAUUAUGUGUAAAAAUAUAUGUGUGGCAACAGUCUGCUGUAGAUCUGAGCAGUAUGAGAAAGAUAAAUAUAUGGAAGGAAAAGGGUACAAGAUGAUGUAUUUUUUUAAGGCAGUUUAGUCAUGAAUACUACACCCUACAGUGCUGAGGCUUUCUGACCAUGAUUUAUGUUGAUAAGGAUUAUUAAAUGACAAACUAAAGCAAAAUGUUUUGGUUUGUUGUUGUUUUUUUUUUUUUUUUAAUUUAACACACUGAAUUUGUAUUCAUUAUCUUAAACAUUUUUCCCUCUCACAUUUGUUUGGAAAAGUUUGAAGGGAAAAGGGAGGGGGGGUGGAAUGAUAUAUAGACAGUGAUUUUAGCUGGUAUCUACCACGCAGGUGGAGAGAGGAGAUAGAAGUCUCAAAACUACAGGCCUAUGUAAAUUCUGCAGCAUCAGAAAGAGCGUGGCACAGCCCCUGUUCUGGGACAGAAGGACGGACAUCUAAGGGACAUGGGCAUUUCUUCUCAGCUCUGCAGAGAGGGCGAUCAGCUCGAAGUGCCUUAUGCUGGGCCCACAGGAGUCCUGUACUGCAGGAGCUGACAGCAAGAGCCAGCUGGCAAAGCCCAGGCAGAAGAGGGAAACUGGAACUCCUGGGUGAGUGCUAAAUAGUGCACAGACUUGGAGGGGCACCAUGAGCUUUGUAAGGAGAUGGAGUAGAUGGCUAAGGAAAAGCUGAGGAUCUGGAAUUCCACACAAGCUUAGCCAUGAUCCAUAUGAUGGAGCAAUGUAGCCAAGCUGUGGGCUGGCCGAGGUUUGCAUCACUGCCCUGACCCAGAUUGCAUCUGCAGUCAUCUGGAACUGACUACACGCCUGAACUGAUGAAAGAGGCUGUGGAAAUAUGGAUCUCUGGGGCCUUGGCAAGAUGCUUAGGCCAUAUUCACCUGUCCUCUGGAAGACAAAAGAGUGAGGAUCAGCAGUGUCAUUUAUUCUGCAAAAACUGAACAGAUGAGAACUGCCGUGACAGCCAAUAGACAAAAUUAAAAAUUAAGGAAAGGCUGGUAUGGAACAAGAGGAAAAUUAUCCCAGCAUUUAACAAUCUUUGGAGGGUGUUAUGUCAACUGAACACUUGGUGAGGCCUAUAAGGAUUUUCCUUGUGCAAUACCUGCAGGAGUUAGGCCUAGCAUAUCACACUAUUCUAAAAGUGAUGUCCAGUAAGCAAUAGGUGGACUCUCCUGGGAAAAAUGCAGGAAGAAAACUUGGUGAGAGCUGGAUCUUCGACAGUGUCACCUGUCAUGAGGGAUUGACAAAAGAAAAGAAAAAAAAAAAAGGUGAACUAAUUCACCAUGGGGAUGGAAGGAUGGAUGCUUCCUGUUUUUUUCAAUUGCAAAGUGUAUGAUAGUUUCAUGCCUUUAAUUGACAUCAGUGCAGUGUUGUUGAAUCCAAUGAAAUUUGAAUCCCACUAUGAAUUUGUUUUCCACAAGUAGAUUAUGAACAGAAGCAUUUGAUUUUUAUCAAUUAUGUAUUUUUGAGUGAAAAGCUAUUUUGUGUAUAUGUAUUUAACAGCAGGAAAUAUAGCAAAUGUUUAUUUUUAUUAAACUAAUAAAAGGGAUAAACCUA